UACAGAGGGUGCAAGCGUUAAUCGGAAUUACUGGGCGUAAAGCGUGCGUAGACGGUUAUUUAAGUCCGGUGUGAAAGUCACAGGCUCAACCUGUGAAUGCCGCUGGAAACUGUCUGGCUAGAGUCCGGAAGGGGCGAGUGGAAUUCCUGGUGUAGCGGUGAAAUGCGCAGAUAUCAGGAGGAACACCAAUGGCGAAGGCAGCUCGCUGGGACGGUACUGACGCUGAGGCGCGAAAGCGUGGGGAGCAAACAGG
rnacentral:rRNA from 1 species